UGAUCUGCUGCAGCUGAGGAUCUGGGCCAUCAUUAAAAACUGACCCUCCCUUUCUGAGCCCGCACUGAAAUCCCAUAAGGUUAUCUCUCAGCCUUGGAAAAUAUGAGAAGCCGGGGAGCAGAGGGGGCUGCAUGACGGUUGUGCAGACAGCUUCGCUGGCCUUUUGGAUCUUUAGAAUCUCAGCUUGAUAUUUCCAGAGGUAUAACAAAACAGAUCAUGCAGCUGCAGAGAAGGGCAUAGCGGAGGUGGUAGUAUAGACUCAUAGCUAGCACACUUCAACUGGGAGAUAUGAGUCCAAGGUUUUAUUCCCGGAUUUACUAUGGGCUUCCUGAAUGGGGGAGAAAAAUAAUUUCCCCACCAGCUCAACCCAUAACCGCCCUGAGCCCUGACUUUUCCAUCUGUACAAUGGGGAUAAUAAUUCCCUGCCAGCUAAUCAAUAAGGU